ensembl:lncRNA
GUCAGGGGCACGCCCCGCUCCCCGUUCGCCUCACUUUCUGUUUACUGUUGCUGAUAAGUGUGGUAGCAGUUGCUGCAUUGUUUGCCCUUUGUUUAAGGCUGUUUUUCUUCAUUUGUGGUUACAGUAGCCAUCAUUUUUAUAGAGUCACUGUUGAGCCUCCGUAGCCUGAUAGGUGAGCCGCUCGCAGGCUGCUGUGGUGCAUCCAGUCAGAGUCGUGAGCCACUUGCAGGCCGUUACUGGCCGUAACCAUGGCCGCUGGUUGCUCCCCGUUCCCUCGUUCUGGACCGACUCACCGAUUGGCGUGGCCAACGCUUAUCUGGAACUGUGCCGGCUACGCUGGGUCACGGACGUAGGAGACGCUGCUGCUUUGCCUCCAUGGGUCGGCCGACGCCACCUGUUGGCUUUGUCUUCUUUCAGUCUGUUAUCUGCUUCUGUGUUGGUGCUGCGGGUGUUGGGCUGCCUCAGCUCGUUUCUGUGGCCGCUGACCAACGUCCUACAUGCUGCUUAUUUUAACGUUCUGUGUGUAUGUGUGAAAGUAGGGUUUAAUUUUUCUUUUUCUGUUUUUUAAAUAAUUUACUGCAGUCAUGUGACCAUUUGUCUAUUAGGUAUUUGCUUUGUCUGAAUUAUGAUUUUUUUUUGUCACGUGACUGCACUUGGUUAGUCGUUUUACAUUAUCAGUUGAUUUUGUUUAAUUUAUAAGUUAGUG